GUGUUCACUUCGGCAGCACAUAUACUAAAAAUUGGAAUGAUACAGAGGAGAUUAGCAUGGUCCCUGUGCAAGGAUGACAUGCAAAUUCAAGAUGCAUUCCAUAUUUAA
ensembl:snRNA U6 U6 spliceosomal RNA